AAAAGAGGAGUUUGAAUAAACAUUUUACUUACACUAAAAAAAUUCUAUUAGUUUAGGCUCUUUUA
rnacentral:tRNA from 1 species